GGGGAAUAUUGGACAAUGGGCGAAAGCCUGAUCCAGCCAUGCCGCGUGUGUGAAGAAGGUCUUCGGAUUGUAAAGCACUUUAAGUUGGGAGGAAGGGUUGUAGAUUAAUACUCUGCAAUUUUGACGUUACCGACAGAAUAAGCACCGGCUAACUACGUGCCAGCAGCCGCGGUAAUACGUAGGUGGCGAGCGUUGUCCGGAAUUACUGGGCGUAAAGGGCGCGUAGGCGGCCUGUUAAGUCAGAUGUGAAACCCCCAGGCUCAACUUGGGGAUUGCAUAUGAAACUGAUGGGCGCGAGUGUCGGAGAGGAAAGCGGAAUUCCUAGUGUAGCGGUGAAAUGCGUAGAUAUUAGGAGGAACACCAGUGGCGAAGGCGGCUUUCUGGACGAUAACUGACGCUGAGGCGCGAAAGCGUGGGGAGCAAACA
rnacentral:rRNA from 2 species